rnacentral:rRNA from 1 species
UACGUAGGGUGCAAGCGUUGUCCGGAAUUAUUGGGCGUAAAGAGCUCGUAGGCGGUUCGUCACGUCGGCUGUGAAAACCUGAGGCUCAACCUCAGGCCUGCAGUCGAUACGGGCGGACUUGAGUACUGCAGGGGAGACUGGAAUUCCUGGUGUAGCGGUGAAAUGCGCAGAUAUCAGGAGGAACACCGGUGGCGAAGGCGGGUCUCUGGGCAGUAACUGACGCUGGAAGGAGCGAAAGCGUGGGGAGCGAACAGG